UACGAAGGGGGCGAGCGUUGUUCGGAAUUACUGGGCGUAAAGGGCGUGUAGGCGGCCCCUUUUGUCGCGUGUGAAAGCCCCGGGCUCAACCUGGGAACGGCGCGCGAAACGGGGGGGCUUGAGUUCGGGAGAGGAGCGUGGAAUUCCCAGUGUAGGGGUGAAAUGCGUAGAUAUUGGGAGGAACACCAGUGGCGAAGGCGGCUCACUGGACCGGUACUGACGCUGAUGCGCGAAAGCGUGGGGAGCAAACGGG
rnacentral:rRNA from 1 species